GUGGGGAAUAUUGGGCAAUGGGCGCAAGCCUGACCCAGCAACGCCGCGUGAAGGAAGAAGGCUUUCGGGUUGUAAACUUCUUUUACCAGGGACGAAACAAAUGACGGUACCUGGUGAAUAAGCCACGGCUAACUACGUGCAAGCAGCCGCGGUAAUACGUAGGUGGCGAGCGUUAUCCGGAUUUAUUGGGUGUAAAGGGCGUGUAGGCGGGACAGCAAGUCAGAUGUGAAAACCAGAGGCUCAACCUCUGGCCUGCAUUUGAAACUGUUGUUCUUGAGUGUCGGAGAGGUAAUCGGAAUUCCGUGUGUAGCGGUGAAAUGCGUAGAUAUACGGAGGAACACCAGUGGCGAAGGCGGAUUACUGGACGAUAACUGACGCUGAGGCGCGAAAGCGUGGGGAGCAAACAGGAUUAGAAACCCGGGUAGUCC
rnacentral:rRNA from 1 species